AUUAUGUAAUGAUGUUAGCCCUGGAUUAUUUUGCGCGGAAAUCAGCAAUUUAUGCGGCAAAGUGCGGCGUAUUUGAAAAAAAUGCGGCCCCCGCAUAAAUUAGCAGACUUUGUCUGAUUAUGCAUUGAAUGAUGCGAUCGCACAAUCGCGUUUUUCUGGAGGGACCAGUAAAUAAUACUGUAUAUAC